GAGAUAAAUUUUUAAGUUUAUUUUGAAAAUAAAUUUUGAGAUUUUAGAUAAUCUCUUAUCUUU
rnacentral:tRNA from 1 species